CUGGGGACUAGAGCGCAGACAGGGUUCACGUCUGCCGGCGAAGACCACAACAGGCCCCCAUCACCACCGGUGCCAGGCGCCCCCCGGCCUCUCGGGGGAAGGAGCAGCCCCGCACAGCCUCGCUCGAUGCCGCAUCAGCCCCGAGGCAGCGAGCAGCAGCAUUCUCCGAGCGGCAACUUGACGCCUCUCCAGAAAAGCAGGCAAAAUGGAAUCUGCUGCUCCCUUCAAGCCACGGCAAGGGCGGUGGGGGGGGGGCGCAGAUCCGCCGCCACCAGCUGCUAGAAUCAAAACACACAACAGCAGCAGCACGAGGUCACAAACGAGAAAAGCGCCAUCGCAUCGCCUUACCUUGGCUGGCUGGCUGGCUAUUAGUGGAGGUGGGGAUGCAGCAUCUUCCAAAGAUGCACGUCUCCCAAUCACCCAGCUGACAGAUCCGGUUUCACAUCCUCCAUGCCCAGCGACUCAGCCUUAGAGGACCUCUGGGCGUGUGGAGAAUGCCCAGCCAUCCUCUGCUGCUGCUCCAGGCGCGAGACGAGAGAAGCAGCCACGGCCUUCUCACCAAUAGACCUCGACGCCUCAGCCGGCACCUCUUGGAGCCUGCCACUCCGUUCUUCGGCUCUCCUGAGUUCAUCCGGCCCUGCCAAGCCGAAGGGUCGUCGGGCGCCUGAUUGGCUUCUCAUGCACUUUGGAGGGCGCUGAAACCACUGUGCACACCCUCAGACCCUUUGGGUGGUGAGGGCUGAUGUGGAGAAGGGCAGACUUCAGUGCCCCUCCCAUGUAGUUUGAAUACCCUAUGGCAACACAGCUUCUAAGAACAGAAAAUGCAUAAAGCUGCAAGGUGUUGCUAGUCUUUGAAAAUCAUACCUAAUACUAACAGGCACUCAAGCUACUAUGCUCCAAUUUAACUACAGUUAACUCACUAUGGAAUCUUUCCCCUGAGCAAGAAAGGAAAAAGGGUCAUAAUCAAGUAACAAAGGACACAAGCUGAAUGGAAACACUGGAAAUAAAGUAGAAUCUUUUUUACGAGUAUAGCA
rnacentral:lncRNA from 1 species